AUCUGGGCUGCCUUGUUCAGCAGAGUGCUGCAUCGCACGUGGUGUAUAUGCCACCCACAAGCAAUCAGGUUGCAUCAGAAAAUCUUCUCAUCCCAGCACCAAAUACUUAUCAGACGACACCCAAUUACACCCAUUACCCAACUGUGAUGGGCAGCAUGCAAACAGCGUGGCC